rfam:Pseudomonas sp. G5(2012) strain G5 PG5_25, whole genome shotgun sequence.
UUUUAUGGCGGCUGUGUGCGGGCAGGCUUCGGUCUGGCCGGUUUCCUACUCCCGGUAAUCUCACUCCGCACAUAGCUGCCACCCAU